rnacentral:tRNA from 1 species
AUUUAAAUAGCUUAAAUGUAGAGCAUAACGUUGAAGGUGUUAGGGUGAUUAUUUCAAUCUUUAAGUA